CAGCCGCCGCGGUAAUACGAAGGGUGCAAGCGUUACUCGGAAUUACUGGGCGUAAAGCGUGCGUAGGCGGUUUGGCAAGUUUGGUGUGAAAUCUUCGGGCUCAACUCGAAGUCUGCAUCGAAAACUGCCGGGCUUGAGUAUGGGAGAGGUGAGUGGAAUUUCCGGUGUAGCGGUGAAAUGCGUAGAUAUCGGAAGGAACACCUGUGGCGAAAGCGGCUCACUGGACCAUAACUGACGCUGAUGCACGAAAGCUAGGGGAGCAAACAGGAUUAGAUACCCCGGUAGUCCCUGUCUCUUAUAA
rnacentral:rRNA from 1 species